rnacentral:rRNA from 1 species
GGCCAGACUCCUACGGGAGGCAGCAGUGAGGAAUAUUGGUCAAUGGGCGGAAGCCUGAACCAGCCAAGUCGCGUGAGGGAAGAAGGCCCUGCGGGUCGCAGACCUCUUUGGACGGGGAGCAAGGCCGCCGACGUGUCGGCGGAAGGAGAGUACCCGUAGAACAAGCAUCGGCUAACUCCGUGCCAGCAGCCGCGGUAAUACGGAGGAUGCGAGCGUUAUCCGGAUUUAUUGGGUUUAAAGGGGGCGCAGGCGGCACGGCAAGCCGGCGGUCAAGUCGCGGGGCUCACCCCCGGCGAGCCGUUGAAACUGGCGGGCUGGAGUUGGAGAGAAGUACGCGGAAUGCGCGGUGUAGCGGUGAAAUGCUUAGAUAUCGCGCAGAACCCCGAUUGCGAAGGCAGCGUACCGGCUCCACACUGACGCUGAGGCACGAAAGCGUGGGUAUCGAACAGGAUUAGAUACCCCAGUAC